GAUGAACGCUAGCGGCAGGCUUAACACAUGCAAGUCGAGGGGUAGUAUAGCAAUAUAUGAGACCGGCGCACGGGUGCGUAACGCGUAUGCAAUCUGCCUUACACUAAGGGAUAGCCCAGAGAAAUUUGGAUUAAUACCUUAUAGUAUAUAGUUGGGACAUCCCUUUUAUAUUAAAGAUUUAUCGGUGUAAGAUGAGCAUG
rnacentral:rRNA from 1 species